CUCCUUGUGGUGUAGUUGGCUAUCACGUUCGGCUGUAAUGGAAAGAUCACAUACCGAAAGGUCACCGGCUCGAUUCCGGUCGAGGAGA